CGCGCAGCCAAGGAGUCUGAUUUUCUAAAAUAUUUGGUUCACCUAAAGCGUAGGGGCAUGGCCCUUAAGACCAUCAGCCUGCACAGGGCUGCUAUCUCAUACUUCAGCAACUGUUUUUGGCUCCCAGACCCCUGCAACACUUUCCACGUAAGGAAGCUUAUUGCAGGGUGGCGUUGCACCCACCCGCCCACCCCAGAUAAGAGGAGGUCAGUAACCAUUGAGACCCUCCGGCUGAUAUGGGAUGCGCUCCCCAGUAUUUGCUGGUCCAACUAUGAGAUUAGGCUCUUCAGGGCGGCCUUCUCCCUGGCCUUCUUUGGUGCGCUCCGUAUUGGAGAGUGCGUUGGGGUACACUGUCAUCUCAUCGCAGGGGCUUGUCUGUGGCUGAUAUCAACCUUGACAGGCGCAUGAUACACGUCAAAAUCCGAGCCUCCAAAACCGAUCAACUAGGUAGGGGUUCCACGCUAAGUCUAGCCUCCUCCCCACACACUGAACCAUGCCUUGUCUCGGACACACGCAAAUUCCUGAAGGUACACCCUCCAGGACCAGGCCCCCUCCUCAUUCACGCAUCAGGCUGCCCCAUGACCCGUUGCCAAUUUGUCUCAAUAUUGCGUAAGGCCAUCCAUGCUUGUGGAGGCAACCCGGCACAAUUUUCUGGGCAUUCCUUUUGUAUCGGUGCAGCAACCACAGCAGCUGCAAGCGGCCUCCCGGCAGAACACAUAAAAACAAUGGGGCGGUGGCGUUCAGCUGCCUUCAAAGGCUACAUUAGAGACAACCAACAGGCACUGACAGAUACCAUAUAAUCCUUUCUUUCAGGCUCGACCCCCAAACAUGUGUGGAUCUUCGGCCACAGCAUAGUGCAUUGGACGGCCGCCCAUGCCGCCACCGGUCCAUUCGGAGAACAUCUGGGCCUGCAGCCAAAGGUCUCCAUUUCCUGGUUCGGACAACGUGGAAUGCGAUGGGAUUCCCUGCUCCCUCGGUUGCGUCACGAGCUUGCGUACCGCCACCCGCCAAAUGCGGUUGUGCUCCACCUCGGCGAAAAUGACUUGGUCAUUCGUAAAAGCAUAAUUCUUAUCAAAACUGCGAUUGCAGACCUGGAAAGCGUACAUGCCACUCACCCCAAUAUCACGAUUUUCUGGUCAGAACUUCUGCCACGCUUACAUUGGCGUGGCAACAGCAAACCCACUAGAGGUAAUUACACCAUUGAAAAAAUCAAUAGGGCAGUGCGCUCUGCAACCACACGCAUGGGAGGUCGGGUCGUGAAACACCCCAACAUUAAAGUCUACAUGAAGGAGCUAUUUAGGCCCGAUGGCGUGCACCUAUUGGACCUUGGAAACGAGCAUUGGCUGAGCAACAUCAGGCAUGGCCUGAUUGACUGGCGGAUGGUGAAGGGUCUUUUCAGAUGUAGGUAGUCUUGGCGGCGAGAUGGCAAUCUUUGCGGUCUCGGGUGGCGGUAUCAGGCCUUGGGCGGAAUCCUUUUGUCCAUCUUCCUCUUGCAGUGGCGAUACCAGGGUUCCCCGUUAAAGGGGUUUCUGAAGGCAGGCUUUGACCGUACGCCGAAAGGUCGUCAUUGCUCUCCCCUGCGGCGGCGGCGUAACGGGGGCGGCUAUCUCUGCUUGAACAUAUGUUCUCCAGAGCCGGCCCAUCCCCCACACAAACACUGGAUAACCCUGAUGCUCCCUAGGUCCCCGGCUGGGGACUGGGGAGGGAGAACGCC